GUCCAGAUGACGAAUCCCAAGUGUGAUGAAACGCGCGUCCUGGAU
rfam:Schistosoma mansoni strain Puerto Rico chromosome W, complete genome